CGUGAAAUGUAGGGGGACCAGUGUUGCUGGUUGAGACUGUAUGCAUGAACAUACUGACCCUUCGAACCUGAACUGGUUGAGACCAGCGUAGGAAACAUAUUCAAUCCAUAA
rnacentral:ncRNA from 2 species